CUGAUCUUGACAUCCCCCUGACCGGCGAGUAAUGUCGCCUUUCCUUCGGGACAGGGGAGACAGGUGGUGCAUGGUUGUCGUCAGCUCGUGUCGUGAGAUGUUGGGUUAAGUCCCGCAACGAGCGCAACCCCUAUCUUCAGUAGCCAGCAUUUAGGAUGGGCACUCUGGAGAGACUGCCAGGGACAACCUGGAGGAAGGUGGGGAUGACGUCAAAUCAUCAUGCCCCUUAUGACCAGGGCUACACACGUGCUACAAUGGCGUAAACAAAGGGAAGCAAUCAUGUGAGUGUGAGCAAAUCCCAAAAAUAACGUCUCAGUUCGGAUUGUAGUCUGCAACUCGACUACAUGAAGCUGGAAUCGCUAGUAAUCGCGAAUCAGAAUGUCGCGGUGAAUACGUUCCC
rnacentral:rRNA from 1 species